UACGUAGGUGGCAAGCGUCGUCCGGAUUUAUUGGGUUUAAAGGGUGCGUAGGCGGCCUUGUAAGUCAGUGCUGAAAUAUCCCGGCUUAACCGGGAGGGUGGCAUUGAUACUGCAGGGCUUGAGUAAAGUUGAGGUUGGCGGAAUUGACGGUGUAGCGGUGAAAUGCUUAGAUAUCGUCAAGAACACCGAUAGUGAAGACAGCUAACUAAGCUUUAACUGACGCUGAGGCACGAAAGUGUGGGGAUCAAACAGG
rnacentral:rRNA from 1 species